rnacentral:rRNA from 1 species
UCAGCCAAGCAUGCGUACUGAAAAAUGUGACCAGUUUCCUACUGAAGCUAAGCAGGGUUGAGCCUGGCCAGUACCUGGAUGUGAGACCUCCUGGGGGAAACUAAGGUUCCUGCUGGAA